ensembl:miRNA aca-mir-5407 aca-mir-5407
GACGGUUCUGUCUUUCGGAUUUUCAGUCACAGUUUCCUUUGUUCUGGCGUCUGUGUGGGAUAAUCCGAAAGAGAAACCCUU